rnacentral:lncRNA from 1 species
CACGAACUCAAGAAGCUUAGAAAAUCCACCCCGACUACCUCGCUCUAAUACCAAGUUGUUGGAUUUAAACACAAAGGAAAUUAAUUUUAUUGAUAUAAACUACUUAUACAUACAUGGCCACUCAAUAUUAUUUUAUACUCUCAAAUAAGCACCCACAUACCAAUAAUAUUUUUCUCAUUCAAAGAAACUAUUUCAUCUCUCUCUCUCGCACAACACAACAUUUCACUCUUUCUUCCAACAAUCCACUCUCUGUUUUUCUCACUCACUAUCUCUCUGUUAACAAAAUGCAAAGGCUUAGUACAUAUAUAUACUAAAGCUAUUGUCGGUGGAGGAGACUUAGGCAGAAUUCAAGAUAAAUCCUUCAAUGGCGGGGGGAUGAUGGAAUAUAUUGUAUACAACAUUCUCAUUAUUCUUCUCUUAGCAACCAUUAUGUUCAAAUUCCAGUAGCUUCCAUAUAAUUCAUAAAAAGCGAUGAUGAUUUCUUCAUUAUCCUUCUUUAAUCUUCCUCCCACUGGUCCUUGACCAUUUUCUACAAAUUUCAUGCUGUGAACCCUACCCUUUGGUCAAUCAUUGAGAAAUCUGUACAUUUCUCUACAUUUUUUUGCAUUUAAUGUGAUUUUCUUAGGUUUUAUUGUGUUUUUGUGUGCAUAGUUUUUAGAUUCAUUUUUCAUGCAAAGGGUUCACAAUUUUAAAAGUCUUUCAAAUGAUAUUUAUGAUCUUCCACGUGUUACAAUCACCAUAUACCGAGUCAAAUAUAAUCUUUUUUGUGAAUAAGAAUAAUUUAUGUUUAUUGCUGAUGAUAUCUCAUUUCUUGUGUAAUUUGAAUGGGGAAACUCUUUUUCUUUUUUUAUUGACCAUGAUACUAGUGCUAAUUAUGUUCUGAUUGUUAGAGUAAUCUCCUGUGUAAGAUCGAUGCGAAGUUAACAACAUUAACUUGCAUUGCAUGUGUGUGUGUGUGUGAGAGAGAGAGAGAGUUUUCAAUAGGUUUUUCUUUUCAUUUUCUUGGUGAAUUUAGGAAGAAAGACAGACAACUGUCAAUGUUACUUGAAGGAUUUUAGUUAUUGUUCAGUAAUAAAUGGAGGAGAUAAGAAAUAUGCAUUGAGCCUAUCCCAUGUAUGGGAAAUUUAAUUGGCAGCCUAAUUAGGUGAAGGAUGAAACAGGAAAAUCAUGACUAGAAACAACACUUUUAGAUAGCCUGAUUUAAUAAUUGAAAUGUUUCCUACAUAAAUCUCAGGAUCCAUAUUCUUAUCGCUUUUAUAAAGUUGAGCACUUUAUCAAUUUUUAGUUGCUAAAAAAUUAUCUUUAUAGUUUCAUAGUUUCUCGUAAAUCAUAUUAGUUGUCAGUUGUUGAUUGUUCAUGUAUGUCAUUAUCUGUACUUUGCUCCCUUAUUUUAUUUGUUGUGUUGGAUUUUUGUUCUUCGUGCGACUUUUCCUAUAUCCUUUGUUUUCGAAAAUAAACUCGUGUUCCCUGCUUUGCCUGUCAUUGUUCUUUGUCGAACAAGUAAACCCUAUUGGAGAAAUUCGUACUAUAACGUUCUUGUAUGUUUAUUUUGCUAAAAAUUCAUCUUUAAAAUUUCAUAUGUUUUCUAUAUUUCAUUUUAAGUUGUUGGAUAUUAGUUGUUUGCGCGUCUCUUUAUUUGCACUUGGCUCUCUAUAUUUUAUUUGUAGUGUUGAAUUUUGAUUCUUCACGUGACUUAUUAUUUACACGUUUCUUUUCACUGCUAAAUGAAAAAAAAAAAAAAAAAAAGAGUUUUGAGAGCACUGUUACUAAGAAAUCGUGCCUAUUUUCUGUUAACGUGUGAGAUGCAUAAUUUUUUCAGCCACAACUUUACUCUGUCACUCUGUUAUUUCAAUGUUUCUUCCAACAAUACCCCAUUUUCCUCUGAUCAUCCAGCUCAUCAUUUACUCUCUACUUCAGCCCCAUCUUAUACAAUUCCACCACCAUCAAUUCAUCCUUAUCCUUUUUUACUUUCUUACCCUCCCCAUCAACUGUGCCAACACUCAUGUCAUUUGUACAACCGCUUCUUGCCCUAAUAUUUGGCACAUCCAAUUUUUUAGCACCCCAGUAUCGUUCUUUUCACUGUUCAACCUCUCGGGCGUAUUUGGUAAGAUCUAUGCUCCUUUUGUUCCAAUAUUUUUGUAUUUAUUUUUGUGUGUUUUUCUCUAGAUCUAUGGUUGAUAAUAUAUUUUUUGUCUAUGUUUCUCUAGAUCUGGAGUUGGAAACCUCCAAUUCGACUCGAAAUCCAACCUGAAUGGUUCUGUUCACUUUGAUCUCCACACUUAUAGGAGGUCAUUGGUCGGAAUUUAAUGAAGGCCUCCAUUAUAGGGAAUUUCUUUGAUCACCUGAUUAUUGUACAAGUUUUAACAUAUUGUGUGCAUUUGUAAAUAUUGUAUAUUUAUUUAUUUAGUGGAAAUUGGGUCAAAUAGCCUUUCUCAUAGUAUACUUUGCAAAUUUAGCUUUUGAUUAGAAAAAAAGUUUUAAAAUAAAUAUCUUAAAGCACAGAAAAUUUUUCCCAUUCCCUUUCCCAAAUGCAUCUCCUCUCACUCGAAUGUAGAAACCCUUCCAACUCACCAUUGUUCCAUCUCAUUUUAAUCGCCUAUACUUCACUUCAGAAUCUUUUUCAUCUAAAUGAGAUGAGAUUAGUGUGUAAUUAUUCUUUCAUUUUGAACACUACCACCACCUCGAGCAGCUCCGUCGUGAACAACUUCCAGCGUGAACAACCGCUAUUGCAAAUAGCCCAUUCAAGCAGUCAAUUUCUCUGAUACGAUAAUCACAUGCAUCGACGAACAAUUAAUUGUCCUUGCACUUCUUUUUCAUUCUUCAGAUCACAAUAUAAUGCUCUGAGAAAUUUAUUGCAUUUUGAGUUAGUAUCUUGUGGUGAGAUUAUUGCAUUUUGUUACUCUUUCCAUUGUGUUACUCGAAUUGAUAAUAAACGGGUUGUUGUAACUUAGAAUUCGUAAAGAAAAGUUAUGGGUGGCCAGGUAUCUUUAAGAAAAUACACCAAUAUUUGCAUAGACAGUGGGAAAAGACGAUUCUUUGGGCCAUGAUUGAGCCAUAUAGAAAACCAAAAUCCUUCACCCCUCUUGUCACUAUUUAUGUAUUUGCCUCUUAGACUGGAGUCGUUGGCUCUACUAUUACUAUGCAACUCAUAAGUUAUGUUUCGCUACUUGUUCCAUUUGGCUUGUUCACUUGGUUUAUGGAAUUAAUUUUUAAUUAGUUGUUUAAUUUUGAUGUAAUAAAACAAAAGCAUUUUGAAAUUUUGAUUCAUUCGUUCACUAAGCCCUUUUAAGGGUUUGUAUUUGAUGGCACGAGCUUUAGCUUAAUUUCCUAAAAAUAAGGUCUAUGCCAAUUUUGGCUUUUGAUUUGAGAGCCUCUACAUGGUCAUUUUUCUCUCUUGUAUUCCCUUAUUUGAGAAUUUUCUUCUACAGGAGUAUGCAUUUAACUAGUAG